CGUGCGCACGCGCCGAAUCCCGCGAGGGAACCGGGGAACCACCACCUUGGGGUGAAUCACGCGGACACCGACGUGAACUCACUGAGUCACGCCCGGUAUACGCGCGUAGGAGACCUUCCUGCUCCGAACCCGUCAGCUAACCCGGUAGGCGAAGGAAGGAAAGGAGUG
rfam:Streptomyces sp. FXJ1.172 contig00011, whole genome shotgun sequence.